rnacentral:sRNA from 1 species
UUUACAAGUUACCGCUUAGAGGGAGACAGGAUCAGGUGUCCUCCAUCCUGGCCACUUGACACAGGAGUCUGUCCCAAGGAAACAGUCUCAAACCAGGCAGCAGAGUUACAUCAGAACGCUUGGAAGCACUUUUUGAAAAUAUAGAGUCGCCUCCAACAUCGCUCCCAUUCUCAGGUCCCCUGUGGGGAGCUGGAUGUCCAUGCGGUGAAAAAGCUCCCCAGCUUCUAGGGACCUAUUAAAAGAGUUCCCACAGCCCAAAAAUCUUCUCAACAGUGUGAUUGGAAGAGCCCUCGGCAUCUCACAUGCAAAAGACAAACUAGUCUACGUGCACACAAAUGGACCGAAGAAAAAGAAAGUCACACUGCACAUAAAGUGGCCCAAGAGCGUGGAGGUAGAAGGCUAUGGCAGCAAGAAGAUCGAUGCUGAGCGGCAGGCUGCAGCUGCGGCCUGCCAGCUGUUCAAGG